rnacentral:misc_RNA from 1 species
GAUGAAGAACGUAGCGAAAUGCGAUAAGUAAUGCGAAUUGCAGAAUCCGUGAGUCAUCGAAUCUUUGAACGCACAUUGCGCCCCUUGGUAUUCCGAGGGGCAUGCCUGUUCGAGCGUCAUUAUAACCCCUCAAGCUCAGCUUGGUGUUGGGGCCUGCUGCACUGGCAGCCCUUAAAAUCAGUGGCGGCGCCAUCUGGCUCUAAGCGUAGUAAUUCUUCUCGCUAUGGAGUCCUGGUGGAUGCUUGCCAUCAACCCCCAAUUUUUCUAUGGUUGACCUCGGAUCAGGUAGGGAUACCCGCUGAACUUAAGCAUAUCAAUAAGCGGAGGA